rnacentral:ncRNA from 1 species
CCACAAACGGGAGGCCGUGAUCCGCCGGACGUACCACUUCGGCCACCGCGGUCCGGCGGGGAGCCACUGGUGAGACCGGCCCGCGGGCCG